GUAACAAGGUUUCCGUAGGUGAACCUGCGGAAGGAUCAUUACCGAGUGAGGGCCCUCUGGGUCCAACCUCCCACCCGUGUUUAUCGUACCUUGUUGCUUCGGCGGGCCCGCCUCACGGCCGCCGGGGGGCACCUGCCCCCGGGCCCGCGCCCGCCGAAGACACCAAUGAACUCUGUCUGAAGAUUGCAGUCUGAGCAGAUUAGCUAAAUCAGUUAAAACUUUCAACAACGGAUCUCUUGGUUCCGGCAUCGAUGAAGAACGCAGCGAAAUGCGAUAAGUAAUGUGAAUUGCAGAAUUCAGUGAAUCAUCGAGUCUUUGAACGCACAUUGCGCCCCCUGGUAUUCCGGGGGGCAUGCCUGUCCGAGCGUCAUUGCUGCCCUCAAGCACGGCUUGUGUGUUGGGCUUCGCCCCCCGGCUCCCGGGGGGCGGGCCCGAAAGGCAGCGGCGGCACCGCGUCCGGUCCUCGAGCGUAUGGGGCUUCGUCACCCGCUCUGUAGGCCCGGCCGGCGCCCGCCGGCGACCCCAAUCAAUCUUUCCAGGUUGACCUCGGAUCAGGUAGGGAUACCCGCUGAACUUAAGCAUAUCAAUAA
rnacentral:misc_RNA from 1 species